rnacentral:lncRNA from 1 species
UUUUUUUUUUUUUUGGGGGGGGGUUCUUUUUAAAAGAGCUAAAUCUCCCCCCUGAUAAAUAUUAAUAUUUUCUUCACUACUAGACAUGAUCCUGAGGCUCAAACUUUGCAUCUUAUUAGCUGAAGCUGUUAGUCUUAGUGUAGUUAAUAAGCAUAACUGGGCUAAUGGAGCAUGUAUUGCUCCCUCCUGGAACUGAAAAGGCCAUUUUGGAAAUAUAAAUGUCUUUUGAUUUAUCAGGAAACACUUCUCAGAGCAUUUCCUUGAUAAUGGCUGGCGGCAGAGGAGACUUUAGACUGCCCAAACAAAUGUGUCUUGAUGCCAGAAUCCAGACUGAGAGAGAAAGAGAACAAACACAAAGAUUGACUGGUAAAUGUCUUUAAGAUGACUGGCACACAGUUAUGAACUUAUGAGAAAUAAAUCAGAACAUUUAAAAUAAUCAAUCAGCAUUCAAGGACUUAGCAAAACAGAGGCAAACUUUGAGGCUCAGAUAUUCACUCACCCAGCCACCUCAUCUAAAUGACAGUGAGGAUAUUUGGAUUUCAUUUUUGUUACUGCUAAUGUGACAUAAUUACCCACUGAAAUUCACCUAUCUGAGGCCUUUGUUUAUCAUGGAUUCAGAGUGAUUUUCUUCUUAGAAACGGAAACUAUCAACCAGUCAGACAAUAGCAGAGAUAAAAAGCCAAAAAAGUGAAGCACAGAAAGAAAAUCAGUAACAAAAGUCCUCCUGCCUGCCAAAAGCCUUCCUACCUGCUGUUACCAAAACCCUGGGUCCUAAGAUUUUGUUUAGCAUCACAAUGGACGAAUUGCAAAUGGCUUUGGUAGAACAUACAUUAUUCACAUCAUUGGGCAUAGGAUAAGAAUUUUAAAAACUGCUAAAUUAAUUUCCUUCCCAAGAUGAAAUGAGAAGUUGCUCAGGGGACCAGGUGAUACAGAGAAUUAGCAGAGCUUUGAACAAAGGAGAAAACAGAGCAGGGAAACAGAAAAAUCAAAGGUGUCUAAGUAUUCAUGAGCUAUCUUAAUUUAAGCAUGAAAACAAAGAGCUGUGACAGCAGACACACAAAGCAUUGCAGAGGGCUCACGGUGUCUAUUUGACACAGGGAGAGCAGUCCCUGCUUGGGAAUGGUUCCUCUGGGCAGAGCCAGGUUUGAUCCAGAGCCAGGGCUGGUGUUGGUGCUUAGGAGUUGGGAUGGGGAGAUGAACAGGCAGUAUCUGGGUUAACUUGUGCUUGUUUUAGGUUGCACCCUUGGCCACAUUCCCUAGUGCUACCAUCCAUGGGAAGCCAAGCAGAAGUGAUCACCUCCAUCCCCCAGACUACAUCCCAGCCCACUAGGCUGAUGUCCAUUCCACAGGAGGCUCCUGGGGAGGGUGAAACUCACUGCUGGAAGACCAGUCUGGUAAGUCAGAGGCAGUAGAGAUCAUAUGGAUCUCUUACCAGAUCCAUAAGAGUCAACUGUGUUGGUUUUAAACCCAUGAUGACAAGGCAAAGUCCUUGUUCUUUCCCACCUUAUAUCCAGCUGCAAGGCUGGCACCUGGAAAAAGUAAAUACUCCUUGUGCUUAUGGGAUCUCUCAAAAGAGCUGGCUUUUCUUAGAAUGGAGGAAGCCAUUCACAUCAGAUGCGAAAGGAGAAGCAAAUUUUAGCCUUGGCACACAGAGCCACCCUUUACCAACACACCUCCCUGAAGUAAGAAUACAUCUGAGAACCUGCUUUUGGUGUUGGUCCCUUCCUCUCUGUGUCCUUACUCUCCGUGUUCCUCCUACAGGAGCCUCUGUAUGGCCUCUUGCCCUGUUUUUUGACCACAAACAGUUUGGACAAAGAUGCGCCAUUUGAUCCGAUGUCCUGCUGGUUUCUGGUGAUACCAAGCACAAGCACACCCUAGAUUGGGAGUCUACCAUUCCCAUUGGAAAUCCCUUUUGACCCUUAUCACAAGACAGGUUCUCAACAUUUUAUGUUGUCUUCUGGAUACCCCAGAUGGGAAUCCCAUUUUCCAAUCACUCCUGCUCAGGUCCCUCCUGGAAACAAAUCCCAGGAGAAGCUGGCUUGGUGGGAGUGCCAGAACCAUCUGAGGGAGCAGGACCUGCUCUUUUGCCUAUCAAGCAAACUGAGAACAAAGGAUGUGAAGGAUGGGGACAUUUGCAAUCAGAAAAUGUGAGGAGGGGAAAACUAGCAUUCCCACCAUACUUUUUUCCCACAGGCAUUACAAGCCAGACUAACUCUCUUCUAGACUUCUGGCUUCUCUGGCCCAUUCUGCUGCUUUCAGUCUAUAGCUUAGGCUCUGCACUUCACAUAAGUAGGGGGAAACAAGCCCCAAGCAAGGGAACAGAGGGAAUGGUAGUCAGAAAUUCCAUGUUUUCUACCUCAAAGGCACCUUUAAGAAUUUCUACACUAAUAUCCACCUAAAUAUUUUUUUGCCCCCUGCCCCCCUCAUUCUGUCUUGUGUAUUUAUUUCAGUAAGAAGGGUGACAGCAUUUUAAAAAAGGGUUAAUUGGCUUAGACACCACUGGAUGUUGCACGAGGAAAAGCACUCCACUCAAUAGAUCAAAACAUUUCUGCAAUUUUCUGUUGCAUAAAACAUGCACAAAAUUGGUCAGAAAAGAAGCAUGAGCUUACAAACAUCUCAAGAAGUUGCCACAGUCACAAAGACGAAGUAUUUAACUGAUUUGUUGUUUAUGCAAGAGGUGAGCACAAACCCCAGUUCCACUCACCUGAGAAGGAAUGCACUGAGGUGUACUGCUGAUGCCAGAUGACACGUGGCCUCUUUCCCAGCUGCCAUCCAUGGCUCAGGGUAACCCAGCUUUCACCCCAGCCUGGAAGAAAAUGAAUGAUCUACUUUUACAAAGAAAAAUUCAGAAGUCUUUAAAUGUUACUGAAAGACUUAUUUUUAACACCACCCACAUUGCCUUUAUUUCUUGGGAAGUCUCAGUGUAAAAGCCACACCAAACCAAAGUUUAACAAUCCAAAUUAAGAUUUUCUGAAGCCUCUUCCCUCACUGCAGUAUUUGUGGGCACUUUGCUGAAGUGUAUUUGCUCCAAAAUGUGUUUCAGUUGUCUCUUAAGGGGUUAAGAGCCUCCUCUCAAACAUGCUGCUGAACCUUCACAAAAAACUGUGAUUUUCUAUUUUAAAAAAACAGCUGAUGUAGCUGGAGAGUUGGCUGGGUGAGAAAUAUCAAGGUUGGUCACAGCCGGCCUUUGGCUUGAGCCUGCAGCCCUGCUCCACACCCUCCACUGCUCUGCGAGCACAAGGGGCUCCAUUCACUGCCCACGUAACAUCGCCGGUGUCAGAUAAAUCAGCUCAGCUUCUUCUAAAAGGAGCAUAAACCAUUUUCAUGUUGCAAUUCCAAGAGAAAGAAGGGAAAAAAUGUACUGGGCUCCAGACACCACACACAGCUGAGUCUCACUUUGUCUGGAAACAAUACAAAAUUCACAUGCAAAGCAUAAGGAGGACAAAAAGGGCCCUGUCAACCCCUAUGAACUCACAACAGAGGGUUCCCCUCUGAGCCUCCAUAAACACCACAUGCACUGCUGGCUCUGAGGAAUCCUGGGGACAGCUAUGGCUGGGUAAGAACUGCUGGGUCAGAAGAUAAUCCAGGAGAGAGUGAGACAAGCUGGUGUGUUAAACAAAGGCCAGCACAGUCCUUGCAACAAUCCACCACAUGGCACAGUGUGCACUGCGAGAAGUUUUGCUGAGCUGCUGAAGGCAAAACAUGGACAAAAGAUUAAUUGAGCCCUAAAUAAUAGCUCCCAGUGGAGAGCUGAAUCUCUGUGCCUUGAAGAGCAAUGCACUUGGGUGUGUCAGAUCCCUGACAAAUGCCAGUAAUGCCCAAAGAAGCAAGAGGUGAGCAGAAUUUGCUACCCUUUAGGAGAAAAAAUAGGCAUUAAAACAGUAUGGCUUAAAAGGUAAAUACUCAAAAAAAGAGAUGGUACAUAUGAUGUGCAAUGAGUACCUAAGUAUGUGUUGUACUUACCUGACAACAGCAGAGCCAAAAUCCCAACAAAGCUGUCCCUGGUGGCCCUGAGCUGGUCCCUAUCAGGUUUAGCUUUGCCAAGACUCUGUGCAGAACCUGAAGCUGGUGUGAGACCUCUCCCUACAGAAGUAUGCCUUGUGCUUAACAUCCCACAGCUCAUGGGCUGCAAAGGUAGAAGGAGUAAUUUCUACUGCUGCAGAGACAUUAUUUCAGACCUCUCCAUGGGUCUGGCACUUUGGCUUGAAGAGCUACAUGGCAAAGACCCUAAGACUAGUUCCUGAAUGUAUUAAAACCAGGACUAUUCCAUGGCAUGGGCAAACAGGAGGGAAAACUCUAAGGAAAGGCUGGAUUGGGACCCUCCUACCUAUAGCAUCUCAUACCCAAAUUCUACAUCUCUGCUGUGGGACACAGAAUGAGCAAAACUAACCCCUGCACACCCUGCCUUUCUGGACAAUUUGCCAUUUACUUCAGCUGAAUUUGCAAGCUUUGCCAACAGUGUUUCCCAGCCUGUUUGGUCUGCAGGGGUUCCCUGCCGUGUCUGUGUGUCACAACUCCUCACUCCCCCAGACCUUUUUACUCCAGCUAGUCCUGUUAGAAGCAUGAGAUUUACAUUUUGGUAGGGACCUGCUUGUGUUUACACUUUCCAAAUGGCUUAUAUGUUUAUGGCGGGUUAUUGGGAGCCUCAAGGGCCAGACAGAUUUAAGAACUAAAUAUCACAGUGGGUAGUGGAGAGCACUUUGAAGUCAAUCAGGGCUGACCAAAGCCUUCUCUCUGAAGAUGAUACAUUUUGCUUUUGGUGUUGGUCCCAUGUGAAGUACUGAACUGUCAACCUACUAAACUGAGAAUUUUGGAACUACUGAUCUCCUACAAACAUGGGUUGCUUUUUAGGUGUGACUGAGAUAAAAAAGAUAAAGCCUUUGAAUCUUGCAUUGGCAGUUUUAUUGCUAAGAAAUGCUCAAAAAAUGCAGUUUCCUCAGCUGAAGAAUUCUCAGGUGAUUUUGAUGGAAUUUACUAAGUUAUUCAGCAUGAACUUAAUACAUGCCCCACCACCAACCAAAAAAAAGCCAAUAACAUAUUUUUAAAAAAUUAUGCUGUAACCAGAUAAUGAAAAGACAUAAUCUUAUGACAUUUGUUGGUCAAAUUAUAACGCUUGUAGUGGCAGAAUUCCUUAAAUUUGAGGAUAAUUUUUUGCAAGCUUAUAUUGAGAAAACAUAAGACUGAGAAUAGACCUACAAAUAUGUCCAUGCUAAAAUGAGAUCCCAGAGACUCUGAGUGCCUUCUCCAUAAAUCUGAGUCACAACAAGCAAACCUCUGACACUGUUUUCUUUGAAGUAUUGUUUUACUAAAAUAAAAAAAUGAAAAUCCAUGUGUUUCCUUCUAU